GUUGCCAUCAUUUAGUUGGGGACUCUGGAGAGACCGCUGCAGUAACAAUGCAGAGGAAGGUGGGGACGACGUCAAGUCAUCAUGGUCCUUAUGUCCAGGGCUACACACGUGCUACAAUGGUAGUUACAGAGGGCAGCGAGGCCGCAAGGCGGAGCUAAUCUCAGAAAAGCUGCCACAGUUCGGAUUGAGGUCUGCAACUCGGCCUCAUGAAGCUGGAAUCGCUAGUAAUCGCGUAACAGCAUGACGCGGUGAAUACGUUCCCGGGGCUU
rnacentral:rRNA from 1 species